rnacentral:tRNA from 1 species
GGAAAUGUGGCUUAGUGGUAGAGUGCUUGCCUAGCAUGCAUGAAGCCCUGGGUUCCAUUCCUCAGUGCCA